CUAAAUCUAUACACUAUUUUCAUAAAUCUAAACAAAACAAAAAAAAGUUAUUUUAUUUUCAGUCCUAAUGAUCGCGAGUAACAUGAAUUUGAAGCCAUUGGCAGCAGCAGCCUCAUUUAGGUCCUUUUGCCUAAUAAGAAAAGCCACAGCUAAAAACUAAACGUUAAAACGGGAAAAAUGUUGAGUGCUAAGCAAUUCAUCAUGAUAGGACACUAAGCCGAACAUCACUCCGUGCUUCUUACAGUUCAUCCUGCACAAUAAACGUAGAACAAGCAAAUAAAGAAAAGGAUCGCGCCACAAUGUAAAGCAUUUAUGUAAACCAAUAGCAGAGGAAAGAGUCAUACAUGUACAUCAUCGUCCUCUGAAGCACUUGAUAGGCCACCUAUACAAAUUAAAUACCAAAGAUGUAAAGGCAAGGCAGGGGCAGAAAAGGAAGGACAGGAAAGAAUAUAACAACCAGCACGUGUUUACAAUAGAUUUGGUUAGUGGCUAUUAUAUAAGCAGAAGAAGAAGGGAAGAAAUGACAUCUAGAAAAUCAGGAAAAUCUGGAGAGAGUCUGGACCUCUCGAAAGUCCAUCUAUCUGUUUCUUUAUUGUCAUUUCAUUUUAGUUACUUCUAAUUGCAUUGGAGAGUAAUCUGUUGUUGAUGUUAAUUCAGAAUUUAUUUCAAUACAGUAAAUCAUAUUGAGUUGGCCUAGCUGAUUUAUGUGAAUUACUUAUUUUAGCUACUUAUUUUUCUUGAUUUCUACUUGUUAGUCUUCUUUGGCAACAGGGUUCCAUCAUUUUGGUAUCAGAGCAAGUUCCUGGAAUGAUGCUCACUGAUCGUGUAGGGGAAUUGGAGGGAAGAAUGGAAACUAUUCAGGCUGGGAUGGAAGUAAUGAAGUCUGAAAUGCAGUGGAUCCAUAGUAUAGAGAAGGACAUGAGUCUGAUGAUGGAGCAGUUUAAACUUGUGAUGUAUCGCUGGGAUGAUCGAGAAAGGGAAUGGAAAGCAAAAGGCCCAGAGGAGGUCCCUGAUUCAGAAUUCAUUGGAAACUCAACAAUAAGACCCAGGGAUGGAGAGCAAACUGGAGGACUGUGGCGACUGGAUUGUAGGAAUAGGAGACUGGAGAUUCCGGUAUUUGAAGGGGAGAAUCCAGAAGGGUGGGUGUUCAAGGCUGAACGAUAUUUUAACCUCACUCAGAUUUCUGAAGCAGAAAAGAUGGAGGCCGCCGCUAUUUGCUUUGAAGGAAAAGCUCUCUCAUGGUAUCAAUGGCAACAGAGACGUAAGAAGUUGACGAACUGGGAAGAAUUGAAAGGUCUAGUGCUGAAUCGUUUUCGAACAACCCAUGGUGGGACUAGCAAGGAGAGGUUCUUAGCUCUCUGGCAAGAAGGUUCAGUGAGGGAAUAUGGGUAAUGAUUUGAAACCUUGGUUGCACCGCUACCAAAGAUUCUUUAUGAAAUAUUAGAGGGACACUUCAUUAAUGGGCUGAAGGCAGAGGUGAAAGCUGAAUUAAGGGUACUAAGACCCAAUGGGAUAGAAGAAAUAAUGGAAAUGGCCCAAAGGAUAGAUGAGAAAAACAUGUUGGGUCAAGGGCAUUGGACCGGUCCAGCAAGAAAUAAGGCAGGAGGGUUUUCUUCCCAUCUCAAUUCCAACCCACCAAGAAGCAAUCUGAUGUCUUCCAUAAUGCACCCAACCCAUUCCAAUCAUUCUACUUCCAAUUAUUUCCCCUGAUUCAACCCAGCCUCGGUUCGCAACCAUCGUCGGUUGGGAAGAACGACAACUCCACCUUCAAACAACUAAGUGAGGCUGAAUUACAAGCGAAAAGGGAGAAGGGGCUAUGUUUCCGAUGCGAUGGAAAAUAUACUAUUGGGCAUAGGUGUAAAAACAAGGAGUUACAAGUGAUGUUGAUUCACGAGGAGGAGGGUACAACUACGAUCGAAGAAGUGGGGGAUAUCUUGCAGGAGAUAGAUGAGGAUAAAACGUUGGGUAAAGAUGGGAAAGCGAUGGAGCUCUCUAUCAAUUUGGUGGUAGGGUUAACUUCGUCCCAUACCAUGAAGGUUAAAUGGAGGAUUGGCGAGAAGGAGGUUGUGGUGUUGGUGGACUGUGGUGUGACACACAACUUUAUCUCAGUGGAAUUGGUCCAAAAAUUAGAAAUACACCGAACAGAGACAUUGGGAUAUUGUGUGAUCAUGGGAACAGGCUUUGCUGUGCAAGGAGCUGAAUUUUGUAAAGGAGUUGUCCUCAAGCUCCAAAAUCUAGAGAUUGUUGAUGAUUUCCUUUCCUUGGAGUUGGGCAGUUCUGACGUUAUAUGAGGGAUGAAGUGGUUGUCCUCCCUGCGGAAAAUGACAGUUGAUUGGCAGGCUUUGGUAAUGCGAUUCCAGGUAGGGGAGACGACAGUUACCUUACAAAGGGAUCCCAAUUUGAAUAAAACACUGGUCGGAUUAAAGGCGAUGAUGAAGGCAUUUAAGGAAAGAGGAGAGGGGAUCUUGUUGGAGCUCGAGAGCUUCGCAGUCGAAGUAAACGAUGGGGAUGAAAGGCAGACAUAGAUGCCAAAGGAGUUGGAAACAUUAUUGAGGGAAUUUGAGGGGGUCUUCCAAGAUUCGUGGGGAUUGCCAUCACACCGAGGUAGAGAUCAUGCAAUUAUACGCCAACCUGGGGCCGACCCAGUAAGCAUCAGGCCUUAUCGCUAUCCUUACAGUCAGAAAAAUGAGAUUGAGAAGUUGGUGAGGGAGAUGCUAGCUACAGGCAUAAUUUGGCCUAGUGUGAGCCCAUUUUUUAGCCCUAUGUUGUUGGUUAAGAAGAAGGAUGGAGGGUGGAGAUUUUGUGUGGACUAUCAAGCUCUCAAUAAAGCAACGGUGCCUAAUAAGUUCCCAAUUCCAAUAAUAGAAUAGUUGUUGGAUGAAUUGCACGGUGCCACCAUUUUCUCUAAACUAGAUUUGAAGGCGGGAUAUCAUCAAAUUCGGGUGGCAGCGGAGGAUAUCCCUAAAAUAGCCUUCCGUACUCAUGAAGGGCAUUAUCAGUUUUUGGUUAUGCCCUUUGGAUUAACGAACGCCCCAGCCACUUUUCAAGCUUUGAUGAACGAUAUUUUUAAGGAACGGUUGAGGAGGUCCGUGUUAUUUUUUUUUUAUGACAUCCUUGUUUACAGUCGAAAUUUGGAAGAACAUCGGGAGCAUUUGAGAGGGGUACUAAAAAUAUUAGAGGAGCAACAACUGUACUUAAAUCGAAAGAAAUGCAUAAUUGGUCAGCAAGAGAUAGAAUACUUGGGGCGCGUCAUAUUGCAACAAGGGGUGGCAGCCGACAAAGUUAAACUUCAAGCAAUGGUAGAUUGGCCACCUCCACGAUCUCUCCGAGAGCUUCGCGAUUUUUUGGGUUUGAUGGGAUAUUAUAGGGGUUCGUGAAGGAUUAUGGAAAACUUGCCUGGCCAUUAACAGAGAGAUUAAAGAAGAAUAACUUUUAUUGGGAUGAGGUGGCUGAAAAGGCUUUUAAGGAGUUAAAGAAGAAGAUGAUAACACUGCCAGUUUUAGGCCUACCAGACUUUACUAAAACUUUCAUUGUGGAGACAGAUGCUUCUAGUCAUGGUUUGGGAGAGGUGUUGAUGCAAGACCAGCGUCCCAUUGCUCUCUUCAGUCAUACAUUGCAUCCGAAGGGGAGGGAAAAAUCAUUCUAUGAGAGAGAACUCGUGGCUAUAGUUUUUGCAGUUCAGAAAUGGAGACAUUAUCUCUUAGGCCACCAUUUCAUUAUUAGGACGGACCAGAGAAGUUUGAAAUUUUUAUGGGAACAGAGGUUAAUUAAUCUUGAGUAUCAGAAGUGGAUGGUGAAACUCAUGGGAUUCCAAUUUGAAAUUCAGUAUAAGCUGGGCUUGGAGAAUAAAGCAGCCGAUGCCCUAUCGCGAGUUCCUCACUCUCCGACGUUGAUGGCAUUAUCUCUACCAGGGAUAGAACAAUUGGAAGCGCUGGAGAGAGAAGUUGCUGAGGAUAACACCUUACAGAAAAUUGUUGAAGAGCUCAAACAACAUCCUUCCGAUUGGCCAGAUUACUCAAUCUGUAAAGGACAGUUAUUGUAUAAAGGAAGAUUGAUGUUACCCAAGGGUUCAACUUUGAUGCCCUUGGUGUUGUCUGAGGGUCAUGAUGGCAGCUUGGGAGGACACUCAGGGUUCUUGAAGACAUACAAGAGAAUCAAUUCGAAUGUGUAUUGGGUUGGCAUGAAGAAAGAUAUCCAUCGGUAUGUCAAAAAUUGCUCCAUUUGUCAGCAACAUAAGUAUGAAGCGCUAUCUCCAGGUGGGCUAUUGCAACCUCUAGCAAUACCGAACCAAGUAUGGGAAAAUAUCACCAUGGAUUUUGUAGAGGGACUACCCAAGUCUGGAGGCUGGGAUUCAAUAUUGGUUGUAGUGGAUAGACUGAGUAAGUAUGCACAUUUUAUAGCCUUAAAGCACCCUUUUUCGGCUGUUGGGGUUGCAAGGACUUUUGUAAAGGAGAUUGUGAGGCUCUAUGGAAUACCACGCUCUAUUAUAUCAGACAGAGAAAAAAAUUUCAUGAGCAGGUUCUGGGAAGAAUUGUUUAGGCUGCAGGGCACAAAAUUAUGUCGCAGCACCACCUAUCAUCCACAAUCAGAUGGUCAGUCGGAGGUGGUCAAUCGAACAGUGGAAAUGUAUCUUCGAUGCUUUGCUUCUUCUAAACCAAAGUCAUGGGUCAGCUGGCUGCCGUGGGCUGAACUUUGGUAUAAUACUUCACAUCAUACUUCAUCUAAAAUCUCUCCGUUUCAGAUUUUGAAUGGGAGGGAACCCCCAUUAUUAGUCAGGUUUGAGAGAGGUUCUACUCCAGUGUCGGUAGUGGAACAACAACUGAUAGAAAGGGAUGAAGUGUUGGAAGAACUAAGAGGGCAGCUACUCCGUGCUCAAUCACACAUGAAAAAGACAUCAGAUAGUAAGAGGAGGAAUGUCCAGUUCAACAUUGGGGACCGGGUGUAUCUUAAAAUACGGCCUUAUCAUCGUAAAACCUUA
rnacentral:lncRNA from 1 species